rnacentral:rRNA from 1 species
UACGUAGGGGGCAAGCGUUGUCCGGAUUUAUUGGGCGUAAAGAGCGUGUAGGCGGUUAGGUAGGUCCGUUGUGAAAACUCGAGGCUCAACCUCGAGACGCCGAUGGAAACCAUCUGACUAGAGUCCGGAAGAGGAGAGUGGAAUUCCUGGUGUAGCGGUGAAAUGCGCAGAUAUCAGGAAGAACACCCGUGGCUAAGGCGGCUCUCUAGUACGGUACUGACGCUGAGGAGCGAAAGCGUGGGGAGCGAACAGG